GACAGAGGGGGCAAGCGUUGCUCGGAAUUACUGGGCGUAAAGGGCGCGUAGGCGGGAUGGCAAGUCGGUCGUGAAAUCCUUCGGCUCAACCGAAGAACGUCGGCCGAUACUGCCGUUCUUGAGGGAUGCAGAGGAGAUUGGAAUUCCCGGUGUAGCGGUGAAAUGUGUAGAGAUCGGGAGGAACACCGGUGGCGAAGGCGGGUCUCUGGACAGUUCCUGACACUGAGACACGAAGGCCAGGGGAGCAAACGGG
rnacentral:rRNA from 1 species